AGAGUUUGAUCCUGGCUCAGGACGAACGCUGGCGGCGUGCUUAACACAUGCAAGUCGAACGAUGAAGCUGGAGCUUGCUCCGGUGGAUUAGUGGCGAACGGGUGAGUAACACGUGAGCAAUCUGCCCUUGACUCUGGGAUAACUGCGGGAAACUGUAGCUAAUACCGGAUACGACACCUUGGGGCAUCCCAGGGUGUGGAAAGAAUUUCGGUCAAGGAUGAGCUCGCGGCCUAUCAGCUAGUUGGUGAGGUAAUGGCUCACCAAGGCGACGACGGGUAGCCGGCCUGAGAGGGUGACCGGCCACACUGGAACUGAGACACGGUCCAGACUCCUACGGGAGGCAGCAGUGGGGAAUAUUGCACAAUGGACGAAAGUCUGAUGCAGCAACGCCGCGUGAGGGAUGAAGGCCUUCGGGUUGUAAACCUCUUUUAGCAGGGAAGAAGCGAAAGUGACGGUACCUGCAGAAAAAGCACCGGCUAACUACGUGCCAGCAGCCGCGGUAAUACGUAGGGUGCAAGCGUUGUCCGGAAUUAUUGGGCGUAAAGAGCUCGUAGGCGGUUUGUCGCGUCUGCUGUGAAAAUCCAAGGCUCAACCUUGGACCUGCAGUGGGUACGGGCAAGCUAGAGUGCGGUAGGGGAGAUGGGAAUUCCUGGUGUAGCGGUGGAAUGCGCAGAUAUCAGGAGGAACACCAAUGGCGAAGGCACAUCUCUGGGCCGUAACUGACGCUGAGGAGCGAAAGCGUGGGGAGCGAACAGGAUUAGAUACUCUGGUAGUCCACGCCGUAAACGGUGGGUGCUAGUUGUGGGCCACAUUCCACGUGGUCUGUGACGAAGUUAACACAUUAAGCACCCCGCCUGGGGAGUACGGUCGCAAGACUAAAACUCAAAGGAAUUGACGGGGGCCCGCACAAGCGGCGGAGCAUGCGGAUUAAUUCGAUGCA
rnacentral:rRNA from 1 species